rnacentral:lncRNA from 1 species
GCAUUAUUGCGACUACAACCCCCGGGUCCUUCGGGACCCAUGGGUUCGACAUGCUCAACCACAAGAGCCAACACAGGAGACAUGGCCGGAGAGUCAAGAUCACAAGUGGACAAACCCACCUUUCCGUACGGGUAGGUACUCCACUGAUCCAUAUGGAGCUUUAGGGUCCAGACCUCCACCCCAAUUCGAUGAAGGACGAUACUCCGACGCCUCUUAUGCUUUCACGAACGACUACUACCAAGAGGCCGGCGCUUUCUUCACCCGUACCGAAAACACUCUCCUCGACAUCCAGAAUACGCAAGCAGAACAUGGAAGACUCUUGGAACAGCAACAAAAAUGGAACCAAGACCACGCCGCUGCAGUACAAGAACUGAGACAAGACACCACGACGAUGAACGACAAGAUCACCACCAUGAUGCGAUUCUGGAACAUUGGGUAAGACUGACAAUCACAUCCAGCUUGGGGGAGUUCCUCCCUGUUUUAUCAAGUAAGUUUUUAUUUGCUCUUCUUAUUUAUUCUUUUUUGUUUUAGUGUUUUAUUUAUCUUAAGGAAAUAACUUAGAAAACCCAAUAAAUAUUUUCUUGCUUUAAUUUACUGCAUUCUAUAAACAUGAAAACAAAAUAAAAGGAGUGUGUAGAUAAGUGUGCUUUAUUUUUCCUGCUAAGUUUAAUCUAUAAAAAAAUAAAAGACCAAAAAAAUGCAUGAUGUAAAUGAUGAACAGUUGCUCUGCUUGCUUACUUUCAAGUACCUAGCUUUUAUAUUAGAGUUCUUCCAGAAAUUACUAAAACUGAAAUUACUAUCUAUAGGAAGCAUAAAACUAGAGUCUAGGUAAGAGAAAUGCAUGAUAUAAAGUUUGAGCUACUGUUUAUCUUGUUCCUACUACACUAGUUCUAGAUUUAUCUUGAAAACUUACAAAUCACAUGAUGAGUUCCUAGCAUAACAAAAUUCCUACCACAACCAUACUUGCUAUAACAUCUUUUAUUAUAGUCACGUUGAGUUUGAUCGAGUUGUGUUGACCCUUAGGAGCUUUUCAUGUGGUUAAAUGAAGAUAUUCACUUGCACACAUCUACUACACCAUUCACCACCAUGCAUUAAAAUUGCUAAAAAUAUUAUUAUCACUCACUGUCCCAAGUAUUGUUAUUCUCUCUCUAAAAAGAUUCAAUGCAGAAGAGGCAUAGGUUAUGCAAAAAUAUGCGAGGAAAUAAAAAGGGGCAAGUGCCCGAAACCUCGAAAAGAAAGAAAAAGAGUGAGACGAGAGGUAAAAAUGGACAAGUGUCCAGAGUAGAAUUAGGGGUACAAAGAUGCCCACUUGAGUAGAAAAAAAUGGACAAGUGUCUGACAGUAGAAUUAGGGGUAUCCACUACCCACCUGAAAAAAAAGAAGAAAAUAAAAAGAUAGCCCAUGUUCUCUCAAAGCAAAGAUCAAAGAAGAGGAGAGAUAGCAAUAUGAGGAGCAAUGAGAAGUAAAUUUUAUGAUCACUUAUACAUCACUAUCAUUUACUCCACCGCACAUGCACAUCUUGAUUUAAUUAUAUGCUGAGUUCCUUUGGAUCCAUGGCUCGAUUAGACAACAUAUGUAUGAGCUGUUUUUCACUCCUAUGAGCUCCACAUAAAUAUUCCAUUAGAUAUAGGUAAGUGACAUUUUGGUAAGGAUCCACAAAUACCACAUAUAGAGAGAUUCGGGAGAAUCAUAGCUGGGAACUCUGAGUUUUAUUUUGAAAACUUAUGCAAAACUCUGGAACCAAGGUGAAGUAUAAACAAGAGGAAUAGUGCUUGACUUAAUUAUUUUGUCUUUCGAUUACUUAAGACUCAAGUGCAGGUACUAAGCUUCAUGACACUUCACUCUAAUCUGGAAGAAUUUUAUAUGGAAGCAUGUGUGCCUGUCACGAAACAAAACAUCGAAGCAACUCAUGAUCCGUCUGAGUUUAGCUAUUUGCUCAGGGACGAGCAAAGGGUAAGCUUGG